GCAAACUUGGUCAUUUAGAGGAAGUAAAAGUCGUAACAAGGUCUCCGUAGGUGAACCUGCGGAGGGAUCAUUACUGAGCGCCGCCCCCGGGCGGAUCUCCCACCCACUGUGAUCACUACCCCGUUGCCUCGGCGGGCGCCAGCGCCCGCCAGAGGGCCCCAGACCCUGAAUGUCGGUGUCGUCCGAGUGCAGUUUACAGCGAUUAAAACUUUCAACAACGGAUCUCUUGGUUCUGGCAUCGAUGAAGAACGCAGC
rnacentral:misc_RNA from 1 species